GGGUUAAAAUAGCCAAAAUGAAAAUAGCCAAGACUGAAAAUAGCCAAAUACUGAAAAUAGCCAAAUACUGAAAACAGCCAAAUCUGAAAAUAGCCGAAGCAGAAAAUAGCCAAGGCUGAAAAUAGCCAAACCCUAAAAAUAUCAAAAUACUGAAAAUAGCCAAGGCAGAAAAUAGCCAAAUACUGAAAAUAGCCAAAAAAAAACAAAAACAGCGAAAUUAAUUGGCGCAAAAUGAAUCGUAUUCGAACAUAAAAUACAUAUACAUUCAACCGAUGAACCGAUUUAUAGUAUUUUAGACUUUGAUCUCUAUUCUAGAUUGUUUGGAGAAAACUAAUGAACCGAGACCACCUAACCUAACCUAACCUAAACUAAACUAAAUUAAAUUAAACUACUCAUUUUUGAUUCGUCAAUAUUCGUUCGACAAUCCACCGGUGCAGUUCAUCCCCCUAACCUAAACUACCUUAAUAAAGUAAAGUUCGGACAAAAUCUUUUUGUUGCAUUCCACAUGCAAUGAUCAAAUUAAAA